GGAGUACAAUAAAACCAUAGCAGAAGCACUAACAGUGCAGCCUUGUCAGAUUCCGAUGAAUCUGCAAAUUCUGCU
rnacentral:ribozyme from 1 species